CACAAGCGGUGGAGCAUGUGGUUUUAAUUCGACGCAACGCGAAGAACCUUUACCAGGGCUUGACAUCCCUUGACGUCUGUAGAGAUACAGAGUUCGAACCUUCGGGUUCGACAAGGAGACAGGUGGUGCAUGGUUGUCGUCAGCUCGUGUCGUGAGGUGUUGGUUAAGUCCCGCAACGAGCGCAACCCCUAUUGUUAGUUGCCAUCAUUCAGUUGGGCACUCUAGCGAGACUGCCGGUAAUAACCGGAGGAAGGUGGGAUGACGUCAAAUCAUCAUGCCCCUUAUGACCUGGGCUACACACGUGCUACAAUGGUUGGUACAACGAGUUGCGAGUCGGUGACGGCGAGCUAAUCUCUUAAAGCCAAUCUCAGUUCGGAUUGUAGGCUGCAACUCGCCUACAUGAAGUCGGAAUCGCUAGUAAUCGCGGAUCAGCACGCCGCGGUGAAUACGUUCCCGGGCCUU
rnacentral:rRNA from 1 species